AGAGUUUGAUCAUGGCUCAGGACGAACGCUGGCGGCGUGCUUAACACAUGCAAGUCGAACGGAGGUAGCAAUACCUCAGUGGCGAACGGGUGCGUAACACGUGAGGAACUUGUCCAUCGGCGGGGGAUAGCCGGCCCAACGGCCGGGUAAUACCGCGUACGUCGGCGGAAGCGCAUGCUUCUGCCGGGAAAGCAGCAAUGCACCGAUGGAGAGCCUCGCGGCCUAUCAGCUUGUUGGCGGGGUAAUGGCCCACCAAGGCGACGACGGGUAGCUGGUCUGAGAGGAUGAUCAGCCACAUUGGGACUGAGACACGGCCCAGACUCCUACGGGAGGCAGCAGUGGGGAAUAUUGCGCAAUGGGCGAAAGCCUGACGCAGCGACGCCGCGUGUGGGAUGACGGCCUUCGGGUUGUAAACCACUGUCGGGAGGGACGAAGAUCUGACGGUACCUCCAAAGAGACC
rnacentral:rRNA from 1 species